rnacentral:lncRNA from 1 species
AUCUGGAAAGUGUCAUGUAUUUAGCCUUAGUGGACACAUAAUUGGGACUUGCAGUUGCAUGCCAUGGCAUUUAUUCCCUUGAAGGUAACUGCAUUAGAUCGUUAUAUCAACAAUCUGGACAGAAUCGAAGCUUAGUCACAGGUUGAAUUUCUGCUAGUCUAUAGUGCAAUGAUUCAUCUGGGCAUUGUAACAAAAUCCAUGCCUUUUUUUUUUUUAAGACUAAACCACGACUGUGAUUAAUUCUAUGUUGUGGAUCCCAAGGAACAAUUAUGAAGGAACAAGAGACUAGGCCCGGGAGAAACAAAAAUAAGUUGGCCACGGAAUAUGGUUCCAGAUAAUUCGUUAACAAGCAGAAAAUCAAAUAGUCAUUGUGCUUUCUGGACCAAUAUAAUGAUGGAGAUUAGAUUAAAAUCCAAUCUUCAUUUUAUUUUUUCUCCCACUACAAAAUUAACAAAAAUUGUAAUGGAUCAUAUAUUUAUUUGGUUGUUUAUCCUCUUCAGAGAUUUUGUGGGAGCGUAACAAAAAGGAAGCUACUUUUGAAGACAAAUUCAAAGGUGAUUUGAAAAAUGCAACAAUGUGUCUUUUAAACUUUAAAAGUGUAUAGCUCCUGAAGUUCUUCAAGUCAAAUUUCCAUCUCCUCACCCCUGUGGUGGGAGUGGUAGGCAUGUCUUAUAAUUUUUUGUGUACAUUUUGUACAGGGAGACAUGAAAAUAGACACAGGGGUGAAGUAUAAGUUAAAAUCUACUGUACCUUUUACUUUUCCAAGUGAAAAUAUUAAACUGUAUGUGCAGUGGCUUCCUGGGAGAAAUGGUGACUCUGAAUUAGUUAGCAGUGAUGACCUCUUUAUUAUGGUUUCCCCCUUCUCUGAGAUCUAUGCCACUUUCACGUGGCUUUGCUGCCAGACGUCUGAGCCUGACAUCACCCUGAUUGAAAUGUGCUACUUAAAGCUUGUUAUAUGGAACCCAGUUCAUUAGGCUGUGCCAGGAUGCUGUACCAGCUAAGAACAAGCUCAAAAAAUAAACACACACCUCAUUUUGUAUUUAAAGCCCUUUGGAAUGCUUAUUGGGAGGCAGAGAAAUUUUCGUACAGCAUUGACAGAGCUGAGAACACUAAUGACAGCAGCCUUGCUAAGUGCAGAAAUUCUAUGCAUCCAGCCGUUUUGUUGUAUAUUAAGCAAAAUUUGUGGCUGGCAACCUUUCUUCAAGGGAUCCCUGUGAAAAGCGCUUCUUGCAUUCAAUUUUUGCCUUUCGAUGAUUAAAAAGCCAUUGGAAACUAGUAUAAAUAUCUCCAUCAUUUAAAAGCUUGCUCUUCUUUAGGACUGUCCUCAGAAGGAAACCCAAGUCAUAAAUGCAUACAAAUGGAGACAGUGUGCGACCAUCAGUGUUAAACAGCUAGUGGGUAGACUUCACUGAUCUGCCUAAAGCGAUCUGAAAACCUUUACCACUGUUAAGACAAAAUGAUGUUUUUCUAGAUCCUUCCUGGCAUCAACACAGAGUUCCACUGCCUGACGGAAGUGAAAGUUCAGGGAACUUGUUAGAUGCUUGUUAGAAGUUGCACUAGUAGUACCUCCCUGGCUUGUGUGGGGAGCUUUGUGGAAACAGACAAAUGAUUGGGGGGAGGGGGGAGCAUGCAAUGACAUAAACAAAAGAUGAAAUCAAAAUAAUAUUUUCCUUGUGGGCAAGUGACUGGUGAGUUUCUCUGGGUUAUUAGGUUUUGGUGUAUAUGUGUGUGUAGAGGUGGGGGAUGUUGGCUGGUUGUUGGCAGUUAUGAAAUAAGACCAGAGUGCUUCAGUAACUAUAGGCUGGCUAUGCACACACGUUGGUUGUCACACAGAUUUGAUCCUUCCCUCUUGCCUUACAUCCCCAUACUGUCUAUCACUGAUUUUUGCCUAUCCAUCAUCCUGAUUCUAGAGGCCAAAGAUUCCUGUGUGUUCAACUGACCUUCAACUGACUCAGCAAAACAGUUUGAAGGUAAUGCAGAUGGGAAAUGGGCCAAAUGUAAACCAGGAAUUCAAAAGUACUUAAGUACUAUUUAUUGGUCACUGAACAAACAAAUGAACACUGGUGGAUCUUUCACAUACAUGGGCUUCCAGGAGAGCAGAAAAUGGGACCCUAGUUGUACUCACUAUGGAAGCGAAUGCCUUAAAAGUAAGGUGUGAGGGGCUAGGGAGUGGCUUACUGAUUUUAGAGUGCCUACUGUUCCUUCAGAGGACCUGAAAUUGGUUCCUAGUGCCCAUGUCCGGUGGCCCACAGUGCCUCUUUAAGACUCCAAGAGUAACUGCACUUGCAUGUGUACAGACCUAUCCAUACAUGCACGCACACACACACACACACACACAAAAUAAAUAUUUUUUAAAACCAUGCUAUGAACACCCAGCUCGGAUAAGGAUACUGGCAUAACUAUUCACUACUCUGUCCUUCACAGCCUGUUCUGACGGUAAAGAACAAAGCAAGCCAAGUCUCACUUUUCCUGAACAGAAAAAGAGGGAGCUGUAAUAAUAGCAGCUAACUAAUAUUUAUCAUUUUUAUCUGUAACCCCCAAUAGCUGUCUCAAAUAAAUAUAAUUCCCAAUUUGCAGAUAAGAAAAUCUAAGGCAGGAAAAAAAUAAUAAUAAUGUGCUAAGUUACCAAAAUCUACAUAAGCAGUAAGUAUCACACAUUUAGUGAAGGCGGAGCUAAGAUUCAGUCCUAGAUGGUCUGGAUCCAGUCUGAGUUCAGAACCAGGGUGUCCUACAUGCCCUCCUGCUGGAUCCCAGGCUCUAUGCUAAGCAGGCAACCAAGUGUUCAAGAUUAACUGUGAUUGUUGCCUGCAAGAAUGCAUUAAGCAGGCUAAGAAAAGACUACGCAUCUUUCUCCCCUUUAUGUCUUCUUUUCAGUUUUUCACAUGUGUUUGUCUGUGUGUCUGUGUCUUUGUGGAGAUCGGAAGACAGCUUGCAAGAGUUGAUUCACUCCUCUAAGAUCUUCAUGGUCCCUGAGCCCUCUUACCAGCCCUGUUUUGUUAUUUGUUGGUUGUUUGGUUGGUUGGUUCUUUAAAUCUCUCUCUCUUUG